rnacentral:rRNA from 1 species
CGUGCUAAUCUGCGAUAAGCGCCGGUAAGGUGAUAUGAACCGUUAUAACCGGCGAUACCCGAAUGGGGAAACCCAGUGUGACUCGUCACACUAUCAUUAACUGAAUCCAUAGGUUAAUGAGGCGAACCGGGGGAACUGAAACAUCUAAGUACCCCGAGGAAAAGAAAUCAACCGAGAUUCCCCCAGUAGCGGCGAGCGAACGGGGAGGAGCCCAGAGCCUGAAUCAGCAUGUGUGUUAGUGGAAGCGUCUGGAAAGGCGCGCGAUACAGGGUGACAGCCCCGUACACAAAAGCGCAUGUGCUGUGAGCUCGAUGAGUAGGGCGGGACACGUGGUAUCCUGUCUGAAUAUGGGGGGACCAUCCUCCAAGGCUAAAUACUCCUGACUGACCGAUAGUGAACCAGUACCGUGAGGGAAAGGCGAAAAGAACCCCGGCGAGGGGAGUGAAAAAGAACCUGAAACCGUGUACGUA